rfam:Perkinsus marinus ATCC 50983 gcontig_1104296589282, whole genome shotgun sequence.
GGCCCUGUGGCGCAACGGUAGCGCAUCUGACUCCAGAUCAAAAGGUUGUCCGUUCGAAUCGGGCCGGGGUCA